CUCAGACUUUGGGGGCCCAGGGACUGUGCACGUUGAGUUUUCUCCUGAGUGAAGACAAUGUUUACCCAGUGUUCCCUGGGUGAACUGGCACCCAGUUAUGUGCUGUGGACGGGCAGAUGCUUUGCUCCCAGGAGCUCAAUGGUGCCAGCUCUGACACAGGAGGAUGCUGGGACACAGCCGGGGGCGGGGCUUGGACCGGCUCAGUUCCUAGUCUUGUCUGAGCGCCUGCUUUCUUUGCUUCCAACCUGUAGUGCACAAGCAUCUCCCUGCCUAGCAGCAGGCUGUAAAUAGGUUCUGAGCAGACCACGUGAGCUCGCCCGUUCCGGGUCAGAGAAGAUGCUCUGUGAGCUAGGGACUCUGGCCUCGGGCAGCCGGGCUUGUAAGGCUGCAGUGCCCACAGACUGGGGAGGGAGGAGGGAGUGGGGAACACUGUUCCCUACCAUUCAUGGUCUCCUCCCUGAGUGCUGUCUGGGCCCUCCCUCCUCAUGCACCUCUGAUUCCUGCUGCUCUUCCCCUCCUCUCCCUUCUGAGUCCCUCCCCACCCCCUGCGUAGUCACGUGGGGGCACCAUCGGAUUUAAGCUUAAUCUGCCGGGCUGCUCAGCCCAGCAGCCUGGCAUUGGUGUGUUAGUGCGUUGGUGCAUGUAGCUGAGACGCUCUUCGACCUCUGUACUUUGAGGAGGGGGGCUGUGGAGUGCCCACAGACCCCCCUCUCCAUGAGCCUGGGGCUGGCAGGAUCUCUGCAGGCUCAGCUGGCACUGGAGAUUGUGAUCCAGUCUCUGGAGAACUGUGUUCUGGGACCAAACCAAGAGAAGAGCCUGAGUGUGCAGAACCGGGUCCAGGACUUCCAGGGAGCCAGCCUGCUUGUCUGCGCCAGGGAGGUCAUCGCCAGCAACCUCUCCCGGCCUGAGACCCCAGCCCCACUCCAGGUCCCAGAGAUGGCCUCACUGCUGUCGCUGCAGGAGGAAAACCAGCUGCUGCAGCAGGAGCUGUCCCGCGUGGAGGACCUGCUGGCCCAGAGCCGCGCAGAGCGGGAUGAGCUGGCCAUCAAGUACAAUGCUGUCAAUGAGAGGCUGGAGCAGGCUGUGCGGCUGGAAACUGGGGAGCUGGAGGCACAGGAGCCCAGAGGGCUGGUGCGGCAGAGCGUGGAGCUGCGGAGGCAGCUGCAGGAGGAGCAGUCCUCCUACCGGCGCAAGCUGCAGGCCUACCAGGAGGGCCAGCAGCGGCAGGCCCAGCUAGUGCAGCGGCUGCAGGCCAAGAUUCUGCAGUACAAGAAGCAGUGCUCAGAGCUGGAGAAGCAGCUGAUGGACAGGUCUACUGAACUGGAGCAGCAGCGACUGAGGGACACAGAACACAGCCAGGACCUGGACAGCGCUCUUCUGCGCCUAGAGGAGGAACAGCAGAGAAGUGCCAGCCUGGCCCAGGUGAAUGCCAUGCUGAGAGAGCAGCUGGACCAGGCCAACUUGGCCAACCAGGCUCUGAGCGAGGACAUACGCAAGGUGACCAGUGACUGGACCCGCAGCUGUAAGGAGCUGGAGCAGCGGGAGGCAGUGUGGAGGCGCGAGGAAGAGUCCUUCAACACCUACUUCAGCAGCGAGCACAGCCGCCUGCUCCGCCUCUGGAGGCAGGUCAUGGGGCUCCGACGGCAGGCCAGCGAGGUGAAGAUGGGCACGGAGAGGGACUUGUUGCAGCUGGGCGGGGAGCUCGUCCGCACAUCCCGGGCUGUCCAGGAGCUGGGCCUCGGACUGAGUGCCAGCCUGCAUCGGGCUGAGAGCAAGGCAGAGGCAGCUCUGGAGAAGCAAAAGCUGCUGCAGGCCCAACUAGAGGAGCAGCUACAGGCCAAGCUGCUCCGGGAGAAGGACCUGGCCCAACUGCAGGUGCAGAGUGACCUGGACAAGGCUGAUCUCAGUGCCAGAGUGACAGAGCUGGCCCUGUCCGUGGAGCACCUUCAGAAUCAGAACUCAGAGAAGGACCAGGUCAACAGGACCCUCUCUGACAAGCUGGAGGCCCUGGAGUCACUGCGGCUUCAGGAACAGACAACCCUGGACACUGAGGAUGGAGAGGGGCUGCAGCAGACCCUGAGGGACCUGGCACAGGCUGCCCUAUCUGACACUGAGAGUGGUGUGCAGCUCAGCAGCUCAGAGCGCACUGCGGACACCUCUGACGGCAGCCUGCGCGGGUUCUCUGGCCAGCGGACUCCAACUCCACCGCGGCAUUCUCCGGGUCGAGGUCGUUCUCCGCGCCGAGGCCUGUCCCCAGCCUGCUCCGACUCCUCCACACUCACGCUGAUCCACUCAGCCCUGCACAAGCGCCAGCUACAGGUUCAGGACAUGCGUGGACGCUAUGAAGCCAGCCAAGAACUGCUGGGUUCCGUACGCAAGCAGCUCAGUGACAGUGAGGGCGAGCGGCGUGGCCUGGAGGAGCAGCUACAGCGCCUGCGGGACCAGACAGCAGCCUCAGCCCAGGCCCAAGAGGAUGCGCAGCGCGAGGCCCAGCGCCUACGCAGUGCCAACGAGCUCCUGAGCAGGGAGAAGGGGAACCUGACCCACAGCCUGCAGGUGACCCAGCAGCAAGCUAAGGAGCUGCGCCAGGAGCUGGAGAAGCUGCAGGCUGCCCAGGAGGAGCUGAAACGUCAGCAUAACCAACUGGAGGACGCGCAGGAGGACUCGGUGCAGGAGGGCGCCCGGGCCCGCCGGGAGCUGGAGCGCAGCCAUAGGCAGCUGGAACAGCUGGAGGUGAAGCGCUCAGGGCUGACUAAGGAGCUGGUGGAGGUGCGGGAGGCACUGAGCUGCGCCAUACUGCAGAGGGAUGUACUGCAGACGGAGAAGGCAGAGGUGGCCGAGGCGCUAACCAAGGCUGAAGCAGGCCGAGCGCAGCUGGAGCUCUCCCUGACCAAGCUGAGGGCAGAGGAGGCCUCCCUGCGAGACUCCUUAUCCAAGAUGAGUGCCCUGAAUGAGAGCCUCGCCCAGGACAAGCUGGAAUUAAACCGCCUUAUCGCCCAGCUAGAGGAAGAAAAGGUGGCACUCCUGGGCCGCCAGCAGCAGGCAGAACAUGCCACUACGAUGGCCGUGGAGAAGCAGGAACUUUUGGAGCAGCUGAGGCUGGAGCAGGAGGUGGAGAGGCAGGGCCUACAGGGCUCCCUGUGUGUGGCUGAGCAGGCCCGGGAGGCGCUGGAACAACAGAUCCUUGUACUGCGCAGCGAACGCAGCCAUCUGCAGGAGCAGUUGGCCCAGCUCUCCCGGCAGCUGAGUGGACGGGACCAGGAGCUGGAGCAAGCCCUGCGGGAGUCCCAGCGGCAGGUGGAAGCACUGGAGCGCGCUGCCCGGGAGAAGGAGGCUAUGGCCAAGGAGCGGGCUGGCCUGGCAGUGAAGCUGGCAGCAGCAGAGCGGGAGGGCCGGACCCUGUCAGAGGAGGCCAUUCGCCUGCGCCUGGAGAAGGAGGCCCUGGAGAGCAGCCUAUUUGACGUGCAGAGGCAGCUGGCUCAGCUCGAGGCCCGCCGAGAGCAGCUAGAAGCCGACAGUCAAGCCCUGCUGCUGGCCAAGGAAACUCUGACUGGGGAGCUGGCAGGCCUACGGCAGCAGGUAACAUCCACAGAAGAGAAGGCAGCCUUGGACAAGGAGCUGAUGACCCAGAAGCUAGUGCAAGCCGAGCGGGAGGCACAGGCCUCUCUGCGGGAGCAGCGGGCAGCCCAUGAGGAGGAUCUCCAGAGACUGCAGCAUGAGAAGGAGGCUGCAUGGCGGGAGCUUCAGGCAGAGCGGGCCCAGCUGCAGGGCCAGCUGCAGCAGGAGCGAGAGGAGCUGCUGGCACGGAUGGAGGCCGAGAAGGAGGAGCUGAGCAAGGAGAUUGCCGCGCUGCAGCAGGAGCGGGACGAGGGCCUGCUGCUGGCAGAGAGCGAAAAGCAGCAGGCCUUGUCCCUGAAGGAGUCCGAGAAGACGGCGCUGUCGGAGAAGUUGAUGGGAACUCGGCACAGUCUGGCUGCCAUCUCUCUGGAGAUGGAACGGCAGAAGCGAGAUGCCCAGAGCCGGCAGGAACAGGACCGGAACACACUGAACGCCCUGACAUCUGAACUUCGAGACCUCCGGGCCCAGCUGGAGGAAGCCACUGCCGCCCAUGCCCAGACGGUGAAAGAGCUGGAGGAACGGACGGGGAACCUGGGCCGGCAGCGGGAGGCCUGCAUGCGGGAGGCAGAAGAGCUGAGGACUCAGCUGCGUGUGUUGGAGGACACCCGCGAUGGGCUGCGGCGGGAGCUGCUGGAGGCUCAGCGUAAGGGUCGGGACAGUCAGGACAGCUCCGAAGCCCAUCGCCAAGAGGCUAGUGAGCUGCGGCGCAGCCUGAGUGAGGGCGCCAAGGAGCGGGAGGCCCUGCGGCGGUCCAACGAGGAGCUGAGGUCUGCAGUGAAGAAGGCGGAGAGUGAGCGCAUCAGCCUGAAGCUUGCCAAUGAGGACAAGGAGCAGAAGUUGGCCCUCCUGGAAGAGGCUCGAGUGUCUGUAGCCAAGGAGGCUGGAGAGCUGCGGGCCUCGCUGCAGGAGGUGGAGCGAUCCCGGCUGGAGGCUCGACGUGAGCUGCAGGAGCUUAGGCGACAGAUGAAGACACUGGACAGUGACAAUGGCAGGCUGGGCCGGGAGCUGGCAGACCUGCAGGGCCGCUUGGCCCUGGGUGAGCGGACGGAGAAGGAGAGCAGGCGAGAGGCCCUGGGCCUACGGCAGAGGUUGCUGAAAGGCGAGAGCAGCCUGGAAGCCCUGAAACAGGAGCUCCAGGGUUCCCAGAGGAAGCUGCAGGAGCAAGAGGCCGAGUUCCGGGCGCGGGAGCGAGGCCUGUUGGGCUCCCUGGAGGAGGCGCGUGGUGCCGAGAAGAGGCUUCUGGACUCUGCCCGCAGCCUGGAGCUGAGGCUGGAGGCGGUGCGGGCAGAGACCUCAGAGCUGGGGCUGCGGCUGAGCGCGGCCGAGGGCCGGGCGCAGGGUCUGGAGGUCGAGCUUGCCCGCGUGGAGGCGCAGCGGCGGGUGGCCGAGGCCCAGCUAGGCGGCCUGCGCUCCGCCCUGCGCCGGGGCCUAGGCCUGGGCCGAGUGUCCAGCUCCCCAGCCCGGGAGGCGCCUGCUGGAGGAAGUGGGGAUGGUCUUAGCAGCCCCAGUCCUUUGGAAUAUAGCCCUCGGUCCCAGCCCCCCUCUCCAGGGCUCAUUGCCUCCCCGGCACCUCCAGACUUGGACCCAGAAGCUGUGCGUGAUGCCCUCCGAGACUUCCUGCAAGAGCUGCGGAGCGCCCAGCGGGAGCGGGAUGAACUUAAGGUCCAGACCAGCACCCUGAGCCAACAGCUGGUGGAGAUGGAGGCAGAGAGAGACCAUGCAGCCUCAAGGGCCAAGCAGCUGCAGAAGGCAGUCGCUGAGAGCGAGGAAGGAGAAAGUCAGCAAGAUGAAGGCCACCGAGGCGAAGCUGGAGAGCGACAAGCGGCGGCUGAAGGAGGUGCUGGAUGCCUCUGAGAGCCGCUCCAUCAAACUGGAGCUGCAGCGGCGCGCUCUUGAGGGCGAGCUGCAGCGCAGCCGCCUCGGCCUGGGGGACCGGGAGGCCCAUGCGCAGGCCCUCCAGGAUCGGGUGGACUCCCUGCAGAGACAGGUGGCAGACAGUGAGGUGAAGGCAGGGACCUUACAGCUGACAGUGGAGCGGCUCAGUGGGGCACUGGCCAAGGUGGAGGAGAGCGAGGGGAACCUGCGGAGCAAGGUGCAGAGCUUGACAGAUGCCCUGACCCAGAGCAGCGCCAGCCUCAGCAGCACUCAGGACAAGAAUCUGCACCUACAGAAGGCCUUGAGUACCUGUGAACAUGACCGCCAAGUGCUACAGGAACGGCUGGAUGCAGCCAGACAGGCAUUGUCUGAAGCGCGAAGACAAAGCAGCUCCCUGGGUGAACAGGUGCAGACUUUGAGGGGCGAGCUGGCCAGCCUGGAGCUGCAGCGGGGCGAUGCUGAGGGCCAGCUGCAGCAGCUGCAGCAGGCGCUGCGACAGCGGCAGGAAGGGGAGGCCAUGGCUCUGCGCUCCGUCCAGAAGCUGCAGGAGGAGCGGCGCCUGUUGCAGGAGCGCCUGGGCAGUCUGCAGCGAGCCCUGGCCCAGCUGGAAGCUGAGAAACGUGAUCUGGAGCGCUCAGCCCUGCAGUUCGACAAGGACCGUGUGGCCCUCAGGAAGACGCUGGAUAAGGUGGAGCGGGAGAAGCUUCGAAGCCAUGAGGACACCCUGCGCUUGAAUGCAGAGAGGGGCCGCCUGGACCGCACACUCACAGGAGCUGAGCUGGACCUGGCCGAGGCCCAACAGCAGAUCCAACAUUUGGAGGCACAGGUGGAUGUAGCCCUGGAGGGGAACCACAAUCCGGUCCAGCCAGAGGCGGGUGAGCAGCAACUGGAACUGCAACAGGAGGUUGAACGCCUGCGCAGUGCCCAGGUACAGACGGAGCGCACACUGGAGGCACGGGAGCGGGCCCACCGCCAGAGGGUGUCAGGGCUCGAGGAGCAGGUAUCCACACUGAAGGCACAGCUACACCAGGAGCUUCGCAGGAGCUCGGCAUCCGUCUCCCUACCCCCUGGCACCCCUGAGAAAUGAGACCCUUCUAGUCCUGAGCAGGUCCCCUGGGCAGGAGAGACACCCUUUGUAGCAUAGCCUGCCCAGGGCCUGGUCAUCAGAGUGCUGUGUGAGGGAGCUGGGGUGGCAGAGAUGAUGGCUUCUCAGAGUUGCUACAACCUGUACUACCCCGGGCCUCUCCUGGAAGAGCCUCUUGAUGGCCCAAGGCUGCAUGAGCCAGCCAGGGGCCAGGGAGAGCACUUGUUUCUGGCAGCAGCAGAACAAGGCUUCCCCAGAAAGGCUACCUGAGCCAGAGCAGCCCCCAGCGUCUGUCCUUGACAUCCUGUCAGAAGCUCCCUCGUGACCUUAGAGCCCUUGUAUUUUUAUACUUUUUUAUAAUGUUGACUGUGGAGAGCGUUUGUGCUUUUUGUAACGUGACCUGUUUUCUAGA